rnacentral:ncRNA from 1 species
AAAAAAACAGUGAAAAGGAAUAGUAGAAAUGAUUUUUUUUGAGAGAGUGCAUGGGUGGUGGAAAUGCAUAAAAAAGACUUUCGAACUCGCCUUUAGAGUUGCUUUGUUGAAAAAAUAGUAGACAAAGACGUAACGCCUGCGUUAAAGGUAUGAGGAGUCCACGAUGUAUUUUAUUAGGAAUAAUAAGGUCGUGGAAAACAUAGGUGGUACCACGAAUAAUAAAUUAUUUAAUCGUCCUAUGA